UAGUAAUUUAAUUGCACCCGUUCCCAUCCCGAACACGGUAGUUAAGCUUCUCUGCGCCAAUGGUAGUUGGGGGCUUCCCCCUGCGAGAGUAGGU
rnacentral:rRNA from 1 species